ACUGCCCUCAAGGAGCUUACAAUCUAGCUGGGGGUAGAUGACUUGCACUUGAACACAACUAGACUGUGAGCUUCUAGAGGGCAGGG
rnacentral:pre_miRNA from 1 species